CCCAACAAUUCCCGAAUAAAUAAAUUCGUUUAAUUUAUUUAAUAAAAAUCCGGCUUUCGUAAAUAAUUAAUAAUAAAAUUAUUUAGAAAUAAAAUACAUUUAAAUCACAUUAAAUGCAAUUAAAUUCAUAAAAACCUUUAUAAAUACAAUAAAAUAUAUUUAUAAAUUACGAAAAAUACGAGGUAUUACAGCUAUACUUUCACUAGAGGAAAAAUCCUGAUAAGUUGCUCAUCAAAAGUUGCCUUUAUUAAACAAGUGCAUCUUUUAAUAACAAAAAACUAAAAAAAAAAAUCUAAACUUUUCCCUCCAAGCAAACGCAACCUUUAACCUAGGAACUAAAAAAAAAAAAAAAACAACACAAACCAUCUCCCUGCAAAGGAACACUGCCUCUCCUACUCCAAACCGUCUCCCUGCAAACCAUAGCCCUGCAAACCAUCUCCCUGCUCCCUCUCUCUCUCUUCGCCGCAGCCACCGCAGGCCGCAGCCACCAGCGAUCCGAGCAGUCGAGUUCGAGGAAGAGAAAGCGAGUCACCGACGAUUCGCGAGCAGUCGAGUUCUUGCUCGCAGACGAACCUUUACGAGGUUCUUGGUGUGGGAAGCAUGCACUGCAUCUCAACAUGAAAUUAGAAAGGCGUACCACAAGUUGCGUUGCGACUCCAUCCUGAUAAGAAUGAUUACUCUGGAACCCCACAUGUUCCUGUGUAUAUUAAGCUUUCAAGUGGCAUCAUCAACAGUUAUUUCCAGCUUGUUGAUCCUGAAGGCAUUAGACAGGAGCUAAAGCAUAUAAAAUCAUUGAAUGUGGAUGGUGUCGUUGUAGACUGUUGGUGGGGAAUUGUUCAAGGAUGGAGUCCGCAGAAGUAUACGUGGUUGGGAUAUAGGGAAUUAUUCAUGAUCAUCAGAGAAUUUCAGCUGAAAGUUCAGUACAACAAAGGAAAAGUUGCAUAGAAGGUGAUAAGGAAGCGAAUGAGAAAUUUCAACAGCUCCAGAAGGUGAUGUCCAUUCUUGGUGAUGAGGAGAAAAGAGCCCUUUAUGAUCAGACCAGAGUUGUCGAUGAUGAUAUUGGUAGGAUCUCCUGAUGAUAUAUCAAGUGCUCUUGAUGAUAUAUCAAGUGUUGUCCUGGUUGAAAAAGAGAGGAACACCCUAGGUACCGUGAAUAAUAACCAAAUUGUGAAACGCGCGUGGAUACUAGUUAUGGGAGGAAAGAUAGGGACAGAGAGCAUGGGACAAACAUGAGUUUUUGUCUUGUGGUUCGCAGCAAGGAAAUGAACGCUUUAAAUCUAAAGCGACGAAGCAUGGAACAGCAACACACGAAGCCACAAUCGCAGCACAGCAAGCAUCAAGCAGCGCGCAGCGCGCAGUACUCGAGCACAGCCAAGGCACCCAGUGCGAGCGCAUAGCCCAGCAGUCCGUGUAAUCCCCCGUAAUAUUAUACAUUUUAUUAAUAUAUUUUAACGUAUAGUUAAUUAUAUUUAAAUAGAAUUUACGAAAUUUAGAAAUAAAUAUGUAAUUUACGAAUAUUUAUUUUUAUACAUUUUAAAUGUUUCAACGAUUUAUGAAGUCAAAACUAAUUUUAAAAUUUGAUGUUGAAAAGGACUAGGAUUUUGAAAACCGAUUGAAUUUAGAAAACAAUCCUAAAAGAUUUUGGAUUGAAAUCCUAAAACUAAAUCCCAAACUCUAGCCCAAUUGGGUGAAGCCCAAAAUAAUAAAACCCAAGGAAUCUCCUCUUUUCCUUUUCUAUUUCACGUGAAAUCAAUUAGCAAAGCCAAAACCCUUCCCUUUUCAAUUUCACGUGAAAAUCAAAAAGCAAAACCCUCCUCUCUCCUUCCCUCCUUCACGUGUAACCCUGCUGGCCGCCGACCCAGCCACCGGACCACCGUCGACCUAGCCACCGGACCACCGUCAUCCCUCGUCGCUAGCACCAACGUGUGCGGUCCACGACCACCAACCACCCUCGUCGUUCCCUGCACACGGCGCCGCCCGUCUGCAGCGUCGCUGCUGUGGUGCCCAUCCGCCAUUCUUCCUAUUCGUUGCUUGCUUAUCACGUCAACAACCUCCUUGCCCAGCCGCGACCAAGAGCCCAGCCGCGACCAACACUUGCGCCGCCACCCAGCGCCGCCCUACCGCCGUGGCCUUGUCGCGCCGCUGCACCAACCGCCCGCAGCCCUUCUUCCCUUCUUGUUUUGGUUAU